rnacentral:rRNA from 1 species
UAGAAUUCCAGGUGUAGCGGUGAAAUGCGUAGAGAUCUGGAGGAAUACCGGUGGCGAAGGCGGCCCCCUGNACAAAGACUGACGCUCAGGUGNGAAAGCGUGGGGAGCAAACAGGAUUAGAUACCNUGGUAGUCCACNCCGUAAACGAUGUCGACUUGGAGGCUGUUCCCUUGAGGAGUGGCUUCCGGAGCUAACGCGUUAAGUCGNCCGCCUGGGGAGUACGGNCGCAAGGUUAAAACUCAAAUGAAUUGACGGGGGCCCGCACAAGCGGUGGAGCAUGUGGUUUAAUUCGAUGCAACGCGAUGAACCUUACCUGGCCUUGACAUCCACGGAAUUCGGCAGAGAUGCCUUAGUGCCUUCGGGAACCGUGAGACAGGUGCUGCAUGGCUGUCGUCAGCUAGUGUUGUGAAAUGUUGGGUUAAGUCCCCCAACGAGCGCAACCCUUAUCCUUUGUUGCCAGCGAUUCGGUCGGGAANUCAAAGGAGACUGCCGGUGAUAAACCGGAGGAAGGUGGGGAUGACGUCAAGUCGUCAUGGCCCUUACGGCCAGGGCUACACACGUGCUACAAUGGCGCAUACAAAGAGAAGCGACCUCGCGAGAGCAAGCGGACCUCAUAAAGUGCGUCGUAGUCCGGAUCGGAGUCUGCAACUCGACUCCGUGAAGUCGGAAUCGCUAGUAAUCGUAGAUCAGAAUGCUACGGUGAAUACGUUCCC